UCAGGGCUCGCAGCGGUGUGCGCCGCCUGAAGAGACCUCGCCGUGGAGAAGCAGCAGCGCCGAGCCGAUGGAGCGGCCGUGUCUGCAGGCGCACGGAGAGCCUCGUGGCUGAGUUGCUCCUGCAACUCUCUUAAAAGAGCGAUCACUGAGGGUGUUGUUGAGCCUUCGGAGCAUAGGGCGCCUUUUUGAAGGCGACCGGCUCCCGGAUGGUCUCAGCUCCCGAAGAGGCUCCGCGGCCGGGCUGGAGCAGGCAGCGGGCGCGGGCCGAAGGUCCAGAGCUUUGUGUGAGUCAGCAGCAGCAUCGCGGGAGGUGAAGCUGGAUGUCGACGUUGGAGGUGACGUGUGCCCGGUGAGCCGUGAGCGCUAGCCAGAAGCCGUUGCUGUCGCUGAAGUCUGACUCGGUGGUGCCAGUCUAAGCCUCCAGGACGAGAGUUUGUCUGCCCAUGAUGCCAUUUCUGAAGGAAGGGGAGAAUGUUUGAGCUUCUGGGCCACCGUGCAUCUUUUGGAGCUUGUCAGCCCGUCGGUUUCCUACGGCCUUCUCCUCCGAGUCUCCUGAUGGG